CCUACGGGUGGCAGCAGUGAGGAAUAUUGGUCAAUGGACGAGAGUCUGAACCAGCCAAGUAGCGUGAAGGAUGACUGCCCUAUGGGUUGUAAACUUCUUUUAUAAAGGAAUAAAACGAGGCACGUGUGCCUUUUUGCAUGUACUUUAUGAAUAAGCAUCGGCUAACUCCGUGCCAGCAGCCGCGGUAAUACGGAGGAUCCGAGCGUUAUCCGGAUUUAUUGGGUUUAAAGGGAGCGUAGAUGGGUUGUUAAGUCAGUGGUGAAAGUUUGGGGCCCAACCGUAAAAUUGCAAUUGAUACUGGCAGUCGUGAGUACAGUUGAGGUACACGGAAUUCGUGGUGUAGCGGUGAAAUGCUUAGAUAUCACGAAGAACCCCGAUUGCGAAGGCAGCUUACUAAACUGUGACUGACAUUGAUGCUCGAAAGUGUGGGUAUCAAACAGGAUUAGAUACCCUAGUAGUC
rnacentral:rRNA from 1 species